rnacentral:rRNA from 1 species
GAGUUUGAUCAUGGCUCAGAUUGAACGCUGGCGGCAGGCCUAACACAUGCAAGUCGAGCGGUAGCACAGAGAGCUUGCUCUCGGGUGACGAGCGGCGGACGGGUGAGUAAUGUCUGGGAAACUGCCUGAUGGAGGGGGAUAACUACUGGAAACGGUAGCUAAUACCGCAUAACGUCGCAAGACCAAAGUGGGGGACCUUCGGGCCUCAUGCCAUCAGAUGUGCCCAGAUGGGAUUAGCUAGUAGGUGGGGUAACGGCUCACCUAGGCGACGAUCCCUAGCUGGUCUGAGAGGAUGACCAGCCACACUGGAACUGAGACACGGUCCAGACCCCUACGGGAGGCAGCAGUGGGGAAUAUUGCACAAUGGGCGCAAGCCUGAUGCAGCCAUGCCGCGUGUGUGAAGAAGGCCUUCGGGUUGUAAAGCACUUUCAGCGGGGARGAAGGCGUUAAGGUUAWUAACCUUGGCGAUUGACGUUACCCGCAGAAGAAGCACCGGCUAACUCCGUGCCAGCAGCCGCGGUAAUACGGAGGGUGCAAGCGUUAAUCGGAAUUACUGGGCGUAAAGCGCGCGCAGGCGGUCUGUCAAGUCGGAUGUGAAAUCCCCGGGCUCAACCUGGGAACUGCAUUCGAAACUGGCAGGCUAGAGUCUUGUAGAGGGGGGUAGAAUUCCAGGUGUAGCGGUGAAAUGCGUAGAGAUCUGGAGGAAUACCGGUGGCGAAGGCGGCCCCCUGGACAAAGACUGACGCUCAGGUGCGAAAGCGUGGGGAGCAAACAGGAUUAGAUACCCUGGUAGUCCACGCCGUAAACGAUGUCGACUUGGAGGUUGUGCCCUUGAGGCGUGGCUUCCGGAGCUAACGCGUUAAAUCGACCGCCUGGGGAGUACGGCCGCAAGGUUAAAACUCAAAUGAAUUGACGGGGGCCCGCACAAGCGGUGGAGCAUGUGGUUUAAUUCGAUGCAACGCGAAGAACCUUACCUGGUCUUGACAUCCACAGAACUUAGCAGAGAUGCUUUGGUGCCUUCGGGAACUGUGAGACAGGUGCUGCAUGGCUGUCGUCAGCUCGUGUUGUGAAAUGUUGGGUUAAGUCCCGCAACGAGCGCAACCCUUAUCCUUUGUUGCCAGCGGUUAGGCCGGGAACUCAAAGGAGACUGCCAGUGAUAAACUGGAGGAAGGUGGGGAUGACGUCAAGUCAUCAUGGCCCUUACGACCAGGGCUACACACGUGCUACAAUGGCAUAUACAAAGAGAAGCGACCUCGCGAGAGCAAGCGGACCUCAUAAAGUAUGUCGUAGUCCGGAUUGGAGUCUGCAACUCGACUCCAUGAAGUCGGAAUCGCUAGUAAUCGUAGAUCAGAAUGCUACGGUGAAUACGUUCCCGGGCCUUGUACACACCGCCCGUCACACCAUGGGAGUGGGUUGCAAAAGAAGUAGGUAGCUUAACCUUCGGGAGGGCGCUUACCACUUUGUGAUUCAUGACUGGGGUGAAGUCGUAACAAGGUAACCGUA